rnacentral:rRNA from 1 species
CCUACGGGCGACAGCAGUGAGGAAUAUUGGUCAAUGGACGAGAGUCUGAACCAGCCAAGUAGCGUGAAGGAUGACUGCCCUAUGGGUUGUAAACUUCUUUUAUAUGGGAAUAAAAUGGUCCACGUGUGGGAUUUUGUAUGUACCAUAUGAAUAAGGCUCGGCUAACUCCGUGCCAGCAGCCGCGGUAAUACGGAGGAUCCGAGCGUUAUCCGGGUUUAUUGGGUUUAAAGGGAGCGUAGGUGGAUUGUUAAGUCAGUUGUGAAAGUUUGCGGCUCAACCGUAAAAUUGCAGUUGAAACUGGCAGUCUUGAGUACAGUAGAGGUAGGCGGAAUGCGUGGUGUAGCGGUGAAAUGCUUAGAUAUCACGAAGAACUCCGAUUGCGAAGGCAGCUCACUGGACUGCAACUGACACUGAGGCUCGAAAGUGUGGGUAUCGAACAGGAUUAGAUACCCCAGUAGUC